rnacentral:ncRNA from 2 species
AGGAAGGCCGCAAGAGAGUCCUUUUUUACAUUAAGUAGAGGGGCGCCGAAGGGGCAAUGUUUUCAGGUUUGGGAGCCUGAAAACGGAAACUCUCAGGCAGAAGGAUUGUGGCUGGACG